AUAAAAGCUGUGAUGAGGAUUAGUAGAUAUACAAGCAAUGACAGAGAAUAGGAUCCGUUGGCUGAAAGGUCCUUCCAUGAUCGUUUUUUUAUCGAACCUACCUCAGAGCUAAGAAGAAUAAACUUCAUUCGCUAUCCCAGCGUUAUGGGAAAGGUGGGCAAGUUUCACUUGUCAAUCAAAGGUGGUACCGCGGAUUAACUCUUUUUCGUCCUUUAC
rnacentral:ncRNA from 2 species